rnacentral:misc_RNA from 1 species
GGAAAUAAAAGUCGUAACAAGGUUUCCGUAGGUGAACCUGCGGAAGGAUCAUUAAAGAGUAAGGGUCUUCGGGCCCGAUCUCCAACCCUUUGUUUAACUAUCAUGUUGCUUUGGCGGGCCCGCCUCACGACCGCCGGAAGUUUGGCUUCGACCUAACUUCUGGCCCGUGCCCGUCAGUGGCCCCUUCAAAUUCUUGAUCAAGUAUGAUGUCUUAGUUAAAAACUUAAUAGUUAAAACUUUCAACAACGGAUCUCUUGGUUCUG